rnacentral:rRNA from 1 species
AUUGAACGCUGGCGGCAGGCCUAACACACGCAAGUCGAGCGAGCGGCGGACGGGUUAGUAAUGUCUGGGAAACUGCCUGCUGGAGGGGGAUAACUACUGGAAUCGGUAGCUAAUAUCGCAUACCAUCAGAUGUGCCCAGAUGGGAUUUGCUAGUAGGUGGGGUAACGGCUAACCUAGGCGACGAUCCCUAGCUGGUCUGCCAGGAUGACCAGCAACACUGGAAUUGAGACACGGUGCAGACUCCUACGGGAGGGAGCAGGGGGGAAUAUUGCACGAUGGGCGCAAGCCUGAAACAGCAAUGCCGCGUGUGUGAAAGAGGCCUUCGGGUGGUAAAGCACUUUCAGCGGGGAGGCGUUACCCGCAGAAGAAGCAGCGGCUAACUCCGUGACAGCCGCCGCGGUGAUAC